rnacentral:misc_RNA from 1 species
AACGCACAUUGCGCCCCUUGGUAUUCCGAGGGGCAUGCCUGUUCGAGCGUCAUUGCACCCCUCAAGCCUGGCUUGGUGUUGGGCGUCGCGGUGUGUCCGCGCGCCUUAAAGUGUCCGGCGAGCGGUUCGUCCCCUGGCGUUGUGAUAUUCUUAUAUUCGCUGCGGAGGGCGGACGGCGGCGGCCGUUAAAGUCUCAAAGGUUGACCUCGGAUCAGGUAGGGAUACCCGCUGAACUUAA